CCUACGGGUGGCAGCAGUGGGGGAUAUUGCACAAUGGGCGCAACCCUGACCCAGCAACGCCGCGUGAGUGAAGAAGGCUUUCGGGUUGUAAAGCUCUUUUAACAGGGAAGAGAAUAAGACGAUAUGUGUAGAAUAAGCCACGGCUAACUACGGGACAGCAGGCGCGGUAAUACGUAGGUGGCGAGCGAUGUCCGGAUUUACUGGGUGUAAGGGGCGUGUAGCCGGGUUGACAAGUCAGAUGUGAAAUCCUGCGGCUUAACCGCAGAACUGCAUUGGAAACUGUUGAUCUUGAGUACGGGAGAGGCAGGCGGAAUUCCUGGUGUAGCGGUGAAAUGCGUAGAUAUUAGGAGGAACACCAGUGGCGAAGGCGGUCUGCUGGACAGAAACUGACGGUGAGGCUCGAAAGCGUGGGGAGCAAACAGGAUUAGAUACCCUUGUAGUC
rnacentral:rRNA from 1 species